GAGCGGAAAGGCCCUUCGGGGUACUCGAGCGGCGAACGGGUGAGUAACACGUGAGUAACCUGCCCCUGACUCUGGGAUAAGCCUGGGAAACUGGGUCUAAUACCGGAUACGACCUCCUGCGGCAUCGUGGGUGGUGGAAAGUUUUUCGGUUGGGGAUGGGCUCGCGGCCUAUCAGCUUGUUGGUGGGGUAGUGGCCUACCAAGGCGACGACGGGUAGCCGGCCUGAGAGGGCGACCGGCCACACUGGGACUGAGACACGGCCCAGACUCCUACGGGAGGCAGCAGUGGGAAUAUUGCGCAAUGGGCGGAAGCCUGACGCAGCGACGCCGCGUGGGGGAUGACGGCCUUCGGGUUGUAAACCUCUUUCAGCAGGGACGAAGUUGACGUGUACCUGCAGAAGAAGCGCCGGCUAACUACGUGCCAGCAGCCGCGGUAAUUCCAGCUCCGCAAGUGUAUAUCUAUGUUGCUGCGGUUAAAAAGCUCGUAGUUGGAUCUGCGUGUUUAGCGUCCGGUUCGACUUUUGGUCGUUACUGGAACGCGACACAGAUGUGCUGGUUUGCCGUUGAUGCUCUUAACCGGGUGUCAGUGGCGGCUAGCGAGUUUACUUUGAAAAAAUUAGAGUGCUCAAAACAGGCGUUUCGCCUGAAUAUUUCUGCAUGGAAUAAUAGAAUAGGACUUCGAUUCUAUUCUGUUGGUUUUCGGAAUGCGAAGUAAUGAUUAAGAGGGACAGACGGGGGCAUUCGUACUGCGACGUUAGAGGUGAAAUUCUUGGAUCGUCGCAAGACGUACUACUGCGAAGGCAUUUGCCAAGAAUGUUUUCAUUAAUCAAGGACGAAAGUUAUGGGUUCGAAGGCGAUCAGAUACCGCCCUAGUCAUAACCGUAAACGAUUCAAACUGGGCGCCCGACGGUGUUUUUAUUGACCCGUCGGGAACCCUCCCGGAAACGAAAGUGUUCGUGUUCCGGGGGAAAUAUGUCUGCAAAGAGGAAACUUAAAGGAAUUGACGGAAGGGCACCACCAGGGGUGGAGCCUGCGGCUUAAUUUGACCCAACACGGGGAAACUCACCCGGCCCGGACACCGUAAGGAUUGACAGAUUGAGAGCUCUUUCUUGAUUCGGUGGGUGGUGGUGCAUGACCGUUCUUAGUUGGUGGAGUGAUUUGUCUGGUUUAUUCCGAUAACGAACGAGACUCUGGCCUGCUAACUAGUGUUCACAUCUUUACGUGUGCUUCGCUUCUUAGAGGGACAGGCGGCUUCCAGCCGCAUGAAGAAGAGCAAUAACAGGUCUGUGAUGCCCUUAGAUGUCCGGGGCUGCACGCGCGCUACACUGAAAGAAUCAGCGUGUACGUUACCUGGCUCGAAAGAGUCGGGUAAUCCGGUGAAAAUCUUUCGUGAUUGGGAUCGGGACUUGCAAUUAUUUCCCUUGAACGAGGAAUCCCUAGUAAGUGCGGGUCAUCAGCUCGCGCUGAUUACGUCCCUGCCCUUUGUACACACCGCCCGUCGCUGCCCGGAACUGAGCCGUUUCGAGAAAAAUGGGACUGUCUACUUGAGGUCUUCACGGACUUUUUGUAAAUGGAAACCGCU
rnacentral:rRNA from 1 species